rnacentral:lncRNA from 1 species
CCAGACCGCCGCGCUGCCCCCGCCCGCAGUCCUCCGUCCGUCCGUCCGUCCCUCCGUCUGUCCCUGUAUCUGUCGGUCUGUCCGGGCUUUCUGCCGUCCGUCCCAUCCCGGGAUGGGGAGCGCGGGGGCCGCGGUCGGGCUGUGCCGGGCAGUGCGGGAGGCGGCUCAGUGCGGCACAGCGCUGCGUCCUCCCCGCUCCCCCCCGCUCGCUCCCGGCGUGGUUUUGUUAUCAUUGUUGUCAUUAUCAUUAUUAUUGUUAUUAUUUCGCGGAGCCCUCCCCUCUGCGGGAUUCCCGCCGGGGUUGCAUUCCCCCCAUCCCUUCCACCUGCCAGCAGCUCCCCCCUCCCUUUUGGAGAAUAUCGUGGCCGGAGAGGAGGAGGAAGAGGAGGAGGAGGAAGGGGAAGAGAGGAUGAGGACAGGGGAUGGGGAAAGGGGUGGGAAGAAGCAGCCCCCCCCCCUCCCUCGCCCCCCUCCGUAGCCGUGCGAUUAGGAGAGCGGUGCACCUCUCGCUGCCCGUCCGUCCGUCCAUCCGUCUCCUCGGAAGGCAUCGGGAGGAGCGGCGGGGACACUACAGGGAGGGCUGCGGGAGCCGCAGCAUAUCCGGCUCAGCACUGCCUCUUCCUCGCUGCUGGAGCUGGGGAAUCGGGGCGGGGGGGGACGACAGCGCCGGGGGGGGGCAGUCAGGGGGUGAGCAGUGCCCCGAAUGUGCUUCUUGCGGGAGGGCUCAGCCCCACUGCCCUUCUCGUGCCUCCUUUAAUGGGGAACAGCACACUGGGGGCAGCUGGCUGGCUCCCCCAGCCCCCGCAUCACCCGCAGCGACCGUGGUGCUUUAGUCCCACGGACAGGGUAGAAAACCAUGGGGUGAGGUGGGGCAAAAAGUGCCAUUUGUGCUCCGGGGUGGAAGGAAAAGGGAUAGUGCCCGUGGGCACUGAGCAGAGCUCAUGGUGUUGGUGGCACGAUGCAGGGUGCGUGGCUGCUCUAGGGGGGGACGGUGGGGAUGCUAUGAAGGAUGAACGAGGCCAGGAGGACCCGGCCAUGGCCGCUGGCACAGGAUCACAAAAAGAGUCUCCAAGUGCCACGGGAGCUGUGUGGGAACCCAAAUCUGAAUGCUGCGGUGGCAGAGAGCAGCAGGGACAGGCAGGUCACUUGGGAGGACGCAGCGGUGGCGUGGGAACUGAGGACACACCGUGUCACCCUGCAGGCCAGCCCAGUGCAGGUGGCUUUGUGAUGGCAGCUGCAGAAAGGCGGCAGAGAAAGCUCAGAGAAAUCCUGCAGAUGGGCCACUGA